UUGGUCAAAUAUUCUUCUCCCAACCCCAUCACCAAACGGUUUCUCCAUAUCUCCACUCCCUAGAAUAUAUAUCUCUUCCCACAAUCUCAGUCAAUCAUCCGCCGUUCCACAAUUCCAGUGGAGCUUUCUUCCCUUCCAACAAAGUUGAGAGGAAACACCGAGCAGCCUGUGAAUCCAAUUUCUCCCUUCAAUCUCAGUCUAUUUUUUUCGUGCUAUAAAGGGUGAGCUUGUGCGCGUUGUUGCGUUGGAAACAAGAAAGUGUUUGAGGAGUUAAGUUUGUGAGGUUGAGCUGUGACGAGCGCGGUGGGUGUUGAACAUAAAAGUGAAGAAGAUAA